UCAAGAUGAGGUGUGCUUGAACGGUUGUUCUGGGUUCCAAAGAGUAUUAGUGAUAACCAUCUUGUGUCUCAACAAAGCUUAGCCCCCAACUCAAGAGGAUGGCAAGGUUAGGCCAGAAAGAAGACUAAAGUAGCGUACCAAGACUGAAGACCAAAUUGGGCACUGGAUAGAACAGCGAGGUGCCAGUCUUGGUGCUUACAAUAAAGUGCCUGAUAAGCUCUGCAAAAUUCAGACCCAAGUGAAGACUAUGGGUAAGCUCUAAUAUAAAACAAAAGAAAUGGAAAACAUGCUCAAAAAACAAGAAAUCAAGUUAUACUUUUCAUAAGGCACCACCAAAAACCCUGCAGGAGCCUGGAUCCAUGUACCUGCUCGUCUCUAAAAUGCAGACCCAAGAUAGCAAGACUUCUCAAAGCCAAAAAAGGGCUCCUUGACU